UUUUUUCCCAGUGAUGCUGCCCAGUGGCGUACCUAGGCAAACUAGUGCCCUGGGCAAAACCGGAGUUUGAUGCCCCCCUGGGUGGAGCAGCCCAGCCGCAGCACUCACCCUUCCUGGACAACCCC